rnacentral:rRNA from 1 species
UGCCAGCCGCCGCGGUAAUACGAAGGGAGCUAGCGUUGUUCGGAAUUACUGGGCGUAAAGCGCGCGUAGGCGGGCUAUUAAGUUAGGGGUGAAAUCCCAGGGCUCAGCCCUGGAACUGCCCUUGAUACUGGUAGUCUAGAGUUCGAGAGAGGUGAGUGGAAUUCCGAGUGUAGAGGUGAAAUUCGUAGAUAUUCGGAGGAACACCAGUGGCGAAGGCGGCUCACUGGCUCGAUACUGACGCUGAGGUGCGAAAGCGUGGGGAGCAAAUAGGAUUAGAUA